rnacentral:lncRNA from 1 species
GUUUAUGAGGUUGAGUAGUGCAUAUGUUUAGUCAUAGAAAUGGCAAGAGAUCCUUUCCAUAGGUGAGAAAUGUUAAGAAAACUAGAGCCAUGUGGUAGGUCUUAAAGUAGAAAAAACAGUAUAGUUGAAUGUCAAAGAGGAAAAGGUGACAAAUUCUGCCUUUUUAGGAGGAAGAGAGGACAAAUCAGAGAGGAUAAACAGAGAAGUGAAAAAAAGAAGCAUUUAUUGAUACAAAAUUAGGUGUUUCUCUUUUAAAUGUCCUUGUUCUUGCUACAUAUUAAACUCCCCUGCAUGUGUUAGUUUGCAUGAGUAUUAAAAUCCGCUUUUCUGUAUAUCUGACUUGAGAACACAUUGUUGGUUUUGGUGUCUUGUCUAGUAUCUCUAAUCUGAUUUGAAACAUAGAACCAACAUUUUUAUUAUUAUUCUUUACAACUGCAAUGUUAAGAUUCAUACAAAUUUUAUUGAAUGCACUUUAGGUAGCAGAUAUUUUGCAUGCUCUGGGGGGUUUUAAUUCUUAUUCUGGGAGUUUGGACUCAGGCCCUUGGGCUCUGGUCCAAUAGUAGAAAUGUAAAACUUGUCUAUUGUUUGUAAUAAUGUAGCACAGGCUGAGAACAUUCUCCCAACAGCUAAUAGCAUAAGUGUUUUUUACCUUUUCUAGCUAUAAGGAAAGGCAAUUGAAGAGGACCUGGGAUGCAGGUGACUUCUGGGAGAGCAGCCUCUCCGUGUCGAUUUUUAAAACUAUCACUUCACCCCAGGUCUUGUACAUGAGACCUAGUAAAUUGUGACCAUCUGAAAUUUUAGAAAGCAGAGGCUGGUGGCAUAUAAGGGGUCUGGAGGUUCAUUCAAGGAAGCCAGGAAGCAGGCAAAUUUUUAAUUGGUAAAAUUUUAGAAAAACAAGCCUAGAAUUCAGGCUUCUCAUUUGCCUGUCAGCUAGCC